rnacentral:rRNA from 1 species
UACGGGAGGCAGCAGUGGGGAAUAUUGCACAAUGGGCGCAAGCCUGAUGCAGCCAUGCCGCGUGUAUGAAAAAGGCUUCGGGUUGUAAAGUACUUUCAGUCGUGAGGAAGGUGUUAAGGUUAAUAACCUUAGCAAUUGACGUUAGCGACAGAAGAAGCACCGGCUAACUCCGUGCCAGCAGCCGCGGUAAUACGGAGGGUGCGAGCGUUAAUCGGAAUUACUGGGCGUAAAGGGCACGCAGGCGGUUAAUUAAGUUGGAUGUGAAAUCCCCGGGCUUAACCUGGGAAUGGCAUUCAAGACUGGUUAGCUAGAGUCUUGUAGAGGGGGUAGAAUUCCAUGUGUAGCGGUGAAAUGCGUAGAGAUGUGGAGGAAUACCGGUGGCGAAGGCGGCCCCUGGACAAAGACUGGACGCUCAUGUGCGAAAGCGUGGGGAGCAAACAGGGAUUAGAUACC